GAUGAACGCUGGCGGCGUGCCUAAUACAUGCAAGUCGAGCGAACAGACGAGGAGCUUGCUCCUCUGACGUUAGCGGCGGACGGGUGAGUAACACGUGGAUAACCUACCUAUAAGACUGGGAUAACUUCGGGAAACCGGAGCUAAUACCGGAUAAUAUAUUGAACCGCAUGGUUCAAUAGUGAAAGACGGUUUUGCUGUCACUUAUAGAUGGAUCCGCGCCGCAUUAGCUAGUUGGUAAGGUAACGGCUUACCAAGGCAACGAUGCGUAGCCGACCUGAGAGGGUGAUCGGCCACACUGGAACUGAGACACGGUCCAGACUCCUACGGGAGGCAGCAGUAGGGAAUCUUCCGCAAUGGGCGAAAGCCUGACGGAGCAGCGCCGCGUGAGUGAUGAAGGUCCUCGGAUCGUAAAACUCUGUUAUUAGGGAAGAACAAAUGUGUAAGUAACUAUGCACGUCUUGACGGUACCUAAUCAGAAAGCCACGGCUAACUACGUG
rnacentral:rRNA from 1 species